rnacentral:piRNA from 1 species
UGACAGGACAUUGCUGAUGGAACCAGAGU